CCUACGGUGCGCUGCAGUGGGGAAUAUUGCACAAUGGGGGAAACCCUGAUGCAGCGACGCCGCGUGAGUGAAGAAGUAUUUCGGUAUGUAAAGCUCUAUCAGCAGGGAAGACAUAGCGACCUUUGGGUCGCCAGACGGUACCUGAUUAAGCAGCCCCGGCUAACUACGUGCCAGCAGCCGCGGUACUACGUAGGGGGCAAGCGUUAUCCGCAUUUACUGGGUGUAAAGGGAGCGUAGACGGCAGCGCAAGUCUGAAGGGAACUGCCGGGGCUUAACCCCGGAACUGCUUUGGAAACUGUGCAGCUAGAGUGCAGGAGAGGUAAGUGGAAUUCCUAGUGUAGCGGUGAAAUGCGGAGAUAUUAGGAGGAACACCAGUGGCGAAGGCGGCUUACUGGACUGUAACUGACGCUCAUGCACGAAAGUGUGGGUAUCGAACAGGAUUAGAUACCCCUGUAGUC
rnacentral:rRNA from 1 species